GCUAGUUGGUGGGGUAACGGCCUACCAAGGCGACGAUGUCUAGGGGCUCUGAGAGGAGAAUCCCCCACACUGGUACUGAGACACGGACCAGACUCCUACGGGAGGCAGCAGUAAGGAAUAUUGGUCAAUGGAGGGAACUCUGAACCAGCCAUGCCGCGUGCAGGAAGACGGCCCUACGGGUUGUAAACUGCUUUUGCACGGGAAUAACCCUCAUUAUGUAUAAUGAGCUGAAUGUACCGUGAGAAUAAGGAUCGGCUAACUCCGUGCCAGCAGCCGCGGUAAUACGGAGGAUCCGAGCGUUAUCCGGAAUUAUUGGGUUUAGAGGGUGCGCAGGCGGGGAUCUAAGUCAGGGGUGAAAGACGGUGGCUCAACCAUCGCAGUGCCUUUGAUACUGGAUUUCUUGAAUGUACCUGAGGUAGGCGGAAUGUGGCAAGUAGCGGUGAAAUGCAUAGAUAUGCCACAGAACACCGAUUGCGAAGGCAGCUUACCAAAGUAUGAUUGACGCUGAGGCACGAAAGCGUGGGGAUCGAACAGGAUUAGAUACCCUGGUAGUCCACGCCCUAAACGAUGAACACUCGAUGUCGGUGAUAGACAGUCGGCGUCCAAGCGAAAGCGUUAAGUGUUCCACCUGGGGAGUACGCCCGCAAGAUUAAAACUCAAAUG
rnacentral:rRNA from 1 species